ACCGGUGUAGCUCAAUUGGUAGAGCACACUGACUUGUAAUCAGAGGUUGGGGUUCAAGUCCUCUUGCCGGCACCA
rnacentral:tRNA from 1 species